AAAGGACUUUGAAAAGAGAGUUAAAUAGUGCGUGAAACUGCACAUUGAAAAGCGAAUGAGUACGCAUGGGUCCCGGCGCUGCUAUUCAGGUGUUUUCUUUGGCAGCAAUGUGGUAAUUUGUUUACCGCAAAGUUGUCUUGAAUGCACUGCACUUAGCAGCCCGGCAAUCUGUUUGGCUUUGUUGAGGCUGCAAUUGUGAGAAGGUAAUCCUCCUUCUCGUAAGGAAGGUAUGGUUGUUAGUAGCAUCGCUUCGGCGAGCGCACAAGUAUCCACUAUUCGUGGUGGUGGUCAGCUAAGACAAAGUUUGGCAAACUCUUGCUCUAGCGAUCAAAUUGAUAGUUGUUCCGGCUGGUUGAGUACUAUUGAUAUGUUUAUUACAUAUCACGGCUUGUUUGGUCAGAUUUGGAUUGGCGUUAUCGGUCGCUUGAAUGCUAAAAACAGAUAAUGUUGCGGCAUCAUUCGAACCGUCUUGAAACACGGACUAAGGAGUUCAACAAAUGCGCGAGUUUGCUGGUUUUGCGAAACCAGGCGGCGUAGUUAACGCGAGUGUGUGGUUGAUAGCGAUAACCUGACGGCUGCAAAGCCUGUUGGGGUCAUCGCCUAUGAUGGAUGGCAUACAAAGUACCGAUUGUUGUUCGCAAUAGAGCGCAUAUGCUGAGACCCGAAAGAUGGUGAACUAUGCCUGAGUAGGAUGAAGCCGGAGGAAACUCUGGUGGAGGUCCGAAGCGUUUUUGACGUGCAAAUCAAUCGUCAGACUUGGGUAUAGGGGCGAAAGACUAAUCGAACCAUCUAGUAGCUGGUUCCCUUCCAA
rnacentral:rRNA from 1 species